UCGGGAGGCUUUUACCUGAGCGCUGAUUUACAACCUUGGCGAACCUUGGAGAUGCGCUGCCGUUCCCUCCAGCCCUUUGGCGCCCGCCCGGCCCUCGCGCCUCGGCCUGGAGGGCUCGGCACCUGCUCCGGGAUGCAUGCAGGCCUCAUUGGGUGCCCUGGCUCACUUGUUUCCUUGGAAAGAAAUAUAGCAUUGUAAUAUUUAGGGCCAAGAGAGUAAAAUCGAAACCACUCUACAGCCAGCUGUGAACAACUUGCCUCUCGGGGAGCUGGUUCCACUACACUUGAGAGAAAACUUAGGAGUGAACAUAUCCAGCACCUUGGCUAUUUCUCCAUUUCAUAAAUGGGCCAAUACUUUAACAGAAUCACCUGCUAAGGCAACAUAAAAUGGCUGAAGAGUUAUAAGGAAUUCAUCUGGAUCCAUGAAUUUCUGAGAUGGAUCGUGUUCUUAGGUCCAUCAUCCUGCAGAGGUUAUUACUCCUAGCAAGUCGAAACCUGAGUCAGCAGUGAUUUGUGCAUGACAAUAGACAUUCAGAUAGUUCCUCCACCCCCAGAUCAUCAUCAUCUCAUCCAGCAGAGAAAAGAAGACCCAGAGUGUGCCCAGGAGAAUGGGUAGGGCCAGAUGUCAUUUGGGACAAGCCCAUUGUUAUGGUGGACACAAGGACAUGAAUUGCUCCAGACAGAGCAGUUUUAGAGUAGAUGUUGAAAUUUUAAGGAAAAAAUUCCCCCAAUGUUCAAAUCAAGCCAAAGAGAAUAAAACACUAACCCCAAGAGUACCUAAGCUAGCUCUGGAAGAGAUACUGUUGAGCAGUGGGAUUGGUAGUAUACCAAAAGAAUCUAGUUUCAUAUAGACACAGACACAAAACACUGGGAUAGGGGAUCUGGUCGGUAUUGUUUAUUUACUUACUUACUUACUUACUUAUUACGACAUUUCUACCCCACCUUUCUCACCCCAGAGGGGACUCGAGGCAGCUUUCCACACAGGCAAUGAUUUGAUGCCUUAAAACACAAUGUACGCAAGUCAGUUGCCCAGUAGCCCACUGUACUCCACCUCCUGCCCCCUAGGUUUCACCUGCUGCUGUCCGUAACCAGUGGGUCACCAGAUGUUUUUGCUUUCAACUCCCAGAAAUCAUAACAUCUGGUAAACUGGCUGGGAUUUCUGGGAGUUGUAGGCCAAAACAUGGAGACCCACAAGUUGAGAACCUCUGAUGUAGAUCAUUCCAACUGCACAAAAUCAUCUCUCCUACCCUACCACUAAAACAGACAAACACACACGAAGCAUGCAUUACUCCUUGUAUAGAAUCUAUAUCAGUUGUAAUUUCUCCCAAAGAUGCGAAAACUUACCUACUGCACAACCAUUCAUUUAUGAAUCUGCCUUAGUUCAUUAUCUAAAAGAACAAUCCAAUGGUUCCUGAACCCAUCUAAAUCCCAGUUAAUUCAAAUUUACAGCACUGCAAGUGCCAUUUCUGCUGUCCCAUCAGAUUUGUGCAGCUAAAACCUGUUUCUCUCCAAAGUGACGCUUCUCCUGUUUUCAGCAUAAUUGUCUGAUAAACACAGUCCUCUAAGCCUGUAACAAACUCUUAAUGGGUCUAGUUUCCUUUCUAUUUUUCCCAUUGUAUAACCCCCCCCCCCCAACCCUACACGUCUCUAGUGAGAUUCAGUAACUUAACACAGACAUAAUGUUCCAGUUGAAAGCUCUUGUUCCAGGAAAAGGUGUAAAUGCUGGCCAUUAUGUUCACUUUAAGUGGCCCCAAUAGCAGCCUGCGGUAGCAGGCUUUGUUGCUGCUAAAGAAUAAUGAGCCCCAAAAAGACAUGUAGUGAAUCUGUUCACAUAAGGCAGAACUGUUGCUGUUGCCGUUGUGUUCCUACAAACUGUUUCCAAGUUCUGGCGACACAAAUCUAUGACAGAGUUUUCUCAGACUUGUGGAACUUGCCCAUGGUCACCCAGUGGAUUUUUCUGGCCAAGUGGGAAUUUGAGCAUUGGAAAUACUGAUCUAUAAUAUUUAUACAUGAUAACUAGCUUAAAUUAAUUUUAACAAGCAGAGUAAUGUGAAGUAUACACCUUCAAUGGAAUGCACAAGAACUGGAUUCCAAAUAGCUACCUUUCCUAAUAGGAAUGGCAUAGGAAUUGUUUACCACAGAGUAAGCUGUUCUUCAAUAAAGAACACCAGACACACAGAACAGUGGCACCAGCUGAGGAAAGUGUGUUUAUGCGUAAUGCCAUAGCACCAGACAAGAAACAAUAAAUGGGGUUUAGAACAGGGAGUAAUAAAUUCAGUAAACUGGAAUUAUAUUUCAGGAGGAAUGCUGGUGCUGGAAUUGGUACUCGAGGAGGAGGAGGAGGAAGAUUUGUUGUUGCUGUAGCUGAAGAUGUCAUUAAUGAAAAAUGGAAUGUUAAACAGACAAAAAUGGAACUGAAGUAAAUGGAUAGGGAAUUUUACAAAACCUUUUCAAAAGAUAUAUUGAAUUAAACUAUUGACUUUAUAUUAAAUAUCCACAAGAGAAAGCAAAGCAAACACAGACAGACAAAUGAGGGAAUAAUAGUACCAAGACAGAACAAUCCUUAAUUAAGCAAAUAGACACACACACGCGCGCAAGCACACUCGUACUGAAAUCAAAGAAAUAACUUUUUUCUUAACUAGGGAAAGAGAGGCUAUGUUUACUAUUUAAAUGGAGGAAGAGGAACACCAGCUCAUGGGUGGGGUGUGGGGUAGGGUUUAGAUCCAUUGUAAUACCCCACCUUUUGCAAACUGGGAAAGUCGACCCCAAAGGGGGAUUCUCUUUCUUCUCCUCAGCCAGCACUUCCAGAAGCCCCUUAAAAUGCUGUCUGAGAGCAGAGUAGGAGGCAAUAAAGAUUGGAUCAAGAUCAAACUUCAGGUGGCGCAAUGGGUUAACCCUUUGUGCUGGCAGGACGGGUUCAAAUCCGGGGAGAAUGGGUUGAGCUCCCUCUGUCAGCUCCAGCUCCCCAUGCGGGGACAUGAGAAAAACCUCCCACAAAAAUGGUAAAACAUCAAACAUCUGGGCAUCCCCUGGGCAACAUCCUUGCAGAUGGCCAACGCUAACCAUAAUCUCUUAUAUGUCUGGGUUCCAGUCUUCCUGUCAAAGCAUACUAACUAUGGAGGAGUCCCUGUUUAAAUCUGCCACAGGAAAGAAAGUCAACUUAUCAGUCACGAAAGAUGUAAUGGUUCCCUCUUUGGUCCUCUCUCUUCAAAGUUUUUGGAGAAAUGAAACCUAGACUGAUGUUCUUUCAGGACAAAAUAUUGUCUACCUUUCAAUUUCACAAAGUGUGGAGCCACAGUGGCGUAAUGGGUUCAACCCUUGUGCCAUCUGAACUGAAGGUCGGUGGUUUGAAUCUGUGAGAUGGGGUGAGCUCCUAUUUGUCAGCUCUAGCUUCUAUGCGGGGACAUGAGAGAAGCCUCCCACAGAAUGAUAACACAUCCGGGCGUCCCCCGGGCAACGUCUCUGCAGAUGGCCAAUUCUCUCACACCAGAAGUAAAUUGCAGUUUUUCAAGUUGCUUUGAUAUGAUAAAAAAUUACAAAGUGCUAAUGUAGCUUUGAGUCCCAUAUUGGGAGAAAAGUGGGACAUAAAUCAUACAUCAAGUGCAAGUUCAGUCCAGCUUCAGUUCUGGUUACUUUGGAUGGAAGUUUUCUUCAUUUUGAAGAAUACCAAAACCACUUCUGUUUUGGUUUAGGGUCUCCAUCUGAACCUAUUCCCAUUCUGUAUGGUGGAAUCAGUGAUGCUGCUUUAAAAGGGAACAGUACCUGCAAUUCAUGGCCAAAGUAGAAAAGCAACCCUAUCUUGCCAUGGUCAGGUGUAGCACAUCCCCUACUUUGAUCACACGUCACCAGUGAGCAUACGCUAUGGGAUGUAAAAGCCCCUCAUCCUAACAUAGUUUUUUUAAUUAGGUCCUGGUUUGAUGUUUUAGUUGAUAGGAAAGUUACCAUCAGAAUAAAUUUUUAGCAAUUGGCAUUUAAUUCACCUAGUAUGGUAUAAUGAACCUGGCAUUUUGUCGGAUAAGAUUCCUUAUAUGAAAAUAAACAGCAGUUUCAGCAAAUCUGACAGUUAGGCAGUUAGUGGGGGAGAAAACCUGCUGUCAAGGAUGAUGCUUUGGAAAUCAGCUUUGACAGCAUCCCUUUUUACUUCUCUAAAAGCUAGAGGGAACGGACAAAACUCCGAGGCACUCUGAAUGCUUGGAAAUUAAAGUGCAGGGAGACAUGCCAGUCAAAGGGAGAAUAAACACUGCUGCUUUGCACAUCAGAUGUUUGUUAAGCUUGCUCUCCUUUUACAGAAGUGCCCCAAAUUCCCACAUGAAAGAGCUAAAUGAGGUCUGCUGCAGGAUCUUAUUUUUAAUCCCCUCCCUAGUAAAAACAAGACUAGAAAAAUCUCUGCAAGCGAAAAUUAGCACAAGGAGAAAAAUCCUAAUCCAGUAUUUUCUUCCACCUAUCUGUAUAUUUUCCUUCGUAUAAUAGGAUUCCUACCAGGGGCUGAUGUUUCCAUUAAAGACAGGUGAGAUAGACUCACUGACUUAGAAGAGACCAAAUGUUCCACCCAGUACAACCCCCUGACAGCAAGGAACACACAAUAAAUGCAGCUGCUGUUUGAAAACCUCCAGAGAAGGAGAAUCAACCAUACUCCAAGUAACUUCUGACCCUUUGUGAUCUCGGACCAGCCCAUGACAGAGCUCCCUGUUGGCAGUCACCAGCUCCUUCAGAGUCAAGCCAGUCACUCAAGGAUACCAUCCACCCAUUACAAGUAUGCUUGGCAGGGAAGAGAGACAGGGCCUUCUCAAUGGUGGCCCCUCGGAUAUGGAACACCCUCCCUAGGGAUAUCAGAUUGGCUCCCUCCCUCUUAACAUUUCGGAGAAAAGCUAAGACAUGGUUGUUUGAGCAAGCGUUUACAAUUGCAGAGUAACUGACAUAGGAAAUGGAAUGACUAGACGAUGGAACUGGACAAUGUUUUAACAAGGAGACACUAAUGAUGUUGGUUUCAUUGUUUCUGUUGUGGUUUUAUAUUGUUUUAAUUUGUUAAUUUGUAUUUUGAUAUUAUGUGUACUGACUUGUUGUAAACUGCCUUGAGUCGUCGACAGGCUGAGAAAGGUGGUAUACAAAUACAACAAACAAACAAACAAACAAAUAAUUAAAUAGCUGCCUUAGGCAGCAAGUUUGUAAGAGGCAGAAGCAAAGUGUUGGGAGGACAGGGCAGUAUAUGUCACAGUUUCUUGACUGCAGUCCCAUCACCUGAGUUGAAAUGAAACAGAAUGUAAGGACUUUAUAACACAAAGAUAUUAUUCUACAGGAACUGUGUGAGUGUAAGUAAUAGUGAAUGCAUGCCAACAUGAGCAACCUCAUUAUUGCACAUCCCUCCAUUUGCCUAUCCAUGGUCCCGUACUCCUGCAUAACCUCAUAACCCUGCCCUCAUGCACUUCUAAUGCGCUGUAAUUUUAAUAAACAAAGUAAGAAAGCAA